UACGAAGGGGGCUAGCGUUGCUCGGAAUUACUGGGCGUAAAGCGCACGUAGGCGGACUCUUAAGUCGGUGGUGAAAUCCUGGAGCUCAACUCCAGAACUGCCUUCGAUACUGGGAGUCUCGAGUUCGGGAGAGGUGAGUGGAACUGCGAGUGUAGAGGUGAAAUUCGUAGAUAUUCGCAAGAACACCAGUGGCGAAGGCGGCUCACUGGCCCGAUACUGACGCUGAGGUGCGAAAGCGUGGGGAGCAAACAGG
rnacentral:rRNA from 1 species